UUUUGACAACAUCAAAAACAAAAUACAAAAAAAACCUAAACCUAAACCUAUCUUUUUUUUCAAGAGGAGCCGCCCCCUAUUUUUCAAAAAAAAGGAAGAAAACCACAGCAGCUAAACAAAGACAGCCCCUCCCCACUGGAACGUUGGGAUUUCACCCAGCCGGUUUGAAUUUCUUUUUCCCCUCAGCAGCCGAACAACUCACCCUCUCACUUUCCCUUCCCCCGGCCAAAAAAACCAGAGAAGCCAGGCAGCCCCUCCCCGUCUCCUUAGUCUUCCUCUCGGCCGAAAUUCCACAAUCAGCAAAACCCCAUUUCCUUCUGCAGCCGCCGGCCCCCACGUUGAUUUUGUUUUCCAACCACAGACCUUCUCAGCCGACCUCAUCAACCACACAGCCCUCACCUUCACUCUCCCCUCUCAGUCGUUCCUCUGGACAGCCAUCAACCCGAAACUUUCCCUCUCAGCUGCAGGAGCAAGGGACGAACCGAACGGAGACCAUAGCAGCCUCCUCUGCAAUCUUCUUCCUUCACCGGCCAUCGCUGCUCUCUUCUCUUUCCCUCUCUCCCACCAAGACGACCCAGCAGCAGC
rnacentral:lncRNA from 1 species